UCAGUGUGGGGCAGCAGCAGCUGUGGCAGAUUUGGGAGUGCUGGUUUUGUGCAAAGCUGCAGCACUCCUAGUGGUGGAACAUGGUGCUACAUGUCUGCAAAAUCAACCAGACGGUAGGAGACACAUGCUGAUUGAGAGAGCUUGUGUGCCUUAGUAUUGCUUUGUAUUGCAUUGCCUGGUUUUUGUGUGUUGUGUUUUUGCAGUGGCAGUGACACGUGUUUGUGUGUGUGGCUGAUGGUGGCAGUGGGUGGAACAUGCGUGACUUCUGUCUCAUCCCACAACAGUACGUGUGCUACGUAUUGUGUAUGUGCAUCAAAAAUCGCUGGCACUGUGUGUUCAUUUGCUCAUCCAGGCCCAUGCUGUGUUCAUUUGACCCCUUCUAUGUGUGAGACAGUGUUUCUGAUUUGUAAAUGUCAGUGGAAAUGGCAUGCCAACAGAGGUUCUGAAGAAGUGUUGUGUUGUGUGACAAUAAUGGACAUACAUAACUGAGAGGCAAGUCGGAAACAAACAUGUUUGGGCUAAACAAACUUUGAGUCCUCUUGAGUUCCAGUGCAGACUGUCUUUGCUUUUCAGAUGAAUAUGGAGGCAGUCAAUGUGGCAGGCCUUUAUCUUUAUCUGUAUGGGGGCAGCUGUGGCCUAGAGGUUGGAGAAGCGGCUUGUGAUCGGAGGGUCACUGGUUCGAUUCCCUCAGUGGAUGGGCACACAUGUUUGUGGUGGAGUGAUUAAUGUGAAAGAUGCUCCCCCCCUCCAUUAGCUGGCUGAUGUGCCCUUGAGCAAGGCACUUAACCCACCAGUAUGCUCCCCGGGCGCUUGAUGCAGCCCACUGCUCGUGUGUGUGUUUCACUGCAUGUAAUUUGCUGGGUGUUGCAUGUGUGUUCAACUAAGGAUGGGUCAAAUGCAGAAAUUAAAUUCAGUAUGUUUAGAAUCGCUGCCAAUAAAGCGAUUCUAAAUUCUUAAUUCUGUAUAGGUGGACAGAAUUGUUCAUUGAUAAGCAAUUUGAUGCAUUAUGUAGCUAAAGGUGAUUAAAAUUCAAGUACAGCAUGUACACUCAUCACAAAGCACAUAGUCUCUGUAACACCAUAUAUUCCUGUUGUCACAGGGGACUGGUGUUGAUGAAGACUUUGUUGAGGUUUUAUUUUGUUUCCAUGACAAAGGUAUGCAGCUCUGAUCUUGUCUGCUUGCGUCUGUGCAAGAGAAUGUACUGUCAGGUUGCUCUGGUCAUAUUAAGCUGAUUGUAUGCCUAUAUGGUUCACUAUAGUGGGAGGAUAGGCAGGGCAGCCAGGGACUAUCCGGACUCUGCACAGCUCCUGCAUUAUAGAGUUCACCAGAGGGUCAAAAGCGUCACCACAUACAUCACAGCUGUAGCAGAACAGCACACACCGUUACUAUGGCGAUCUGCCAUUUUUUCCCCCCGCCGUGCUAAGCCAAACAGUGGUGGGUGGGUGUCGAGAUAUGAGAAAAGACAAAAGGGAUUGUGUGCCCGAUCUUAUAUAUGUUUCAGAGAGUGCAUAUGUAGAGCAAGUGUGUUUAUUUGGCCAGCGGUGUUUCGGUUACUGCUAGAGAGACACGUGUGCCUUAUUUGUUUGGUCUGACUAUCUGUGGUCUCAGCUGUACUCAUCAGCAAGCCUGUGCAACAAUAGCUAAGGUGCCCGUGGUGGGAAUUGCACAGCGUGAUAAAACUGGCAAAAUGACGUUGUCAGAAGCUCCAUUGAACAUAAUCAGGCUGUGGUAGAUGGGCUCGGCUGUUGGGUUUGGGACCAUAAGUCUGGCGAUUAAACAUGCAUGGGGUGAAUCCUUCAUCAUGGGGCGAAACAAAGCCGCCCUGCCCUCCCCACGUGUUUCAACAUCGCCAUGGAAAAAGCCUGUUUCCCUGGCAACCAAACUGGCUCUCUUUGUCACAGGAAUGGGGAAGGAGGAGGAGGCAGGCGAGGAGCAGGGGGGAGCUGAGUGGAGGCAUGACAGUCCACACUGACCUCCACCUGACCUCUAGGUGAACAUGCCAUAUUGGUUUCCUGCUUUCCUGGAGGGAACACUGUGAUUGGUCAUUUUUGACAAGAUUUGUCUAAACUUCUCUCUCCUUAAGUUUGACACAGUCUCACAGACACUUACAAUGUUUCUGUUCAAAAAUAUCAUACACAUUUACACAGUAGAGAGACCAAAUGUUCUAGGACAGCAAGAGGAAGGACAUUUACAUGAGCUGUCAUUCCUCCAUACUGACAGACAGUGCUGCCUGAGUGCUUUCCCAAAAACCGACAUCUUUUCUUCUACUGCCCCCAGUGGCUGGUUGUAGGACCAGUGAAGGUGAAACAGGGAGAAUGAAAAGCCCUGGGUGAAGGAGAAAUGACUCAAAGCAAGGAAAUGGAGGAUGCAGUUCAGAAAGCGUAGUGGUGAGAAAAAGACAAUGGCUUGUUAAUACAGGCAGCCAGAAAAAAGAGGAAGGGAGACAAAGUGAGACGCCGCUUUUAUGUCGGCUGGUGCUCUCCCUAAUGUUAACCUAGUGUUUCCCUAAUGGCCCUAAUGACAUAUGGAGCACAGAUUGCAGCAGGAGCCAGCUCUCUCUGAAACCGCUGUCGCCUCCCUCAGGGCUUUGCAAACACUACAUUAUGAAGAUGCGGUGACUAAAAACACAGGUCAAAUAUGGUGAACUUUAAUGGUUAUCAAAUCCUAACUGAAAGGAUCUUUUCUUGACUUCAGACAUCUUUAUGUGUGAUUGUAAACAGCUCUCAAAAGAUGUAGUGCUUUCUUUUUCAAUCUCUGACAAGCUCUGGCCUGUAUGACAUCUCCCUAAGCAUUUCCUGGCGGCAUAUCGCCCGCCAUUUUGUUUCAAUUUGUUCACAACGCCGAUAUCUCUUCCUCCUCUCGGCUCCUUCAGUCUGUCCACAUCUUGCUUGUCGUCUGGCCGUCAUCUUCUCAUGGACUGUUACUGAUGAUAUCGGAUUGCUGUUGGCUUUACAGCGCUGGAAAGUGGAGCUAAUGGGCUUUCAAAUGCUUUAUUGUGAAUGCAACCUGUCAAGAGGGAAGAGAUAGGAUCAGAUUUGAUUAGGGGGCGAGAGCAGCAGAAUAAAACAUAUUCAAAAAUUGAAGGAGUUUGUUUUUCUGCAUGUCCAUGUGCAGCAUGUGGAAGAAACUUCAUAAAAUAUAUUCAGUCAAAUUUAGUGUUUUGCACCAAUCUCAUUAGAUGCCCUUGGAUCAUCCUUAUCUCAUCAAGUGUUCAUCAUCCCUUCUCCCGUUCUGCUUUCCCUUUUCUCCUCAUUUUCCCCUUCCCAUGUGUAUUCCUCCCCAGCAGAGCAGAGAGUAACACUGCCUCUUUUGGCUGGAUGUGGUAAAUGUGCUCCUCUCUGGCAGAUGAAUGAUGUCAAACAGACAUAUUUAUAUUCAUUUAGGGCUGAGGAGGAGGAGAACCCAUCUGUAACGGAUGUGAUAGGAACCGCUAUGUGUGAGUGUGCACGCAUUUAGGUGUGUGUGUGUAUGUGUGUGCGUGUAGGCACACGCGUGUUCGAGCAUGUGUUCCAAGGUAUCCAUCGUUUGUGAUAAAUGAAUCGUGCUUUUGUGUGAGUUGAUACUGUGUUUGCGGAUUUGUGUGUGUGUUUACAAUGUGUGUGUGUGUCUGUGUGUGUCUCCGUGCAAGCGAGGUCAUUCCCCGGUCACUCGUUCAGGCUGUGUGAUGAAUGAAGAGGAGAGGUGCCUGCAAAGCCGGAGAGAUUUGGGAGAAACAUUGUUCUACGGGGCUAAAAAAUGGUCUUGUGUUGUGCCAGAGGCUGGGGGAAUGUUUCUAAAAAAAAAAUGAGAAAUGAGGGGGAAGUGCCUGCGUUUGGGUUGGACAGCAGGCUGGUGGGGUCAGAGACAUCUGACUCAACCAGGAAGUAUCAAGUUGCAGUAGACCGGAAGUCAGUGGACCAAACAGGAAGGACUUUACGCAGAGGAGGCUACUGAAAGCCAGCAACCAUUAGUGUCUGUCAGCUGGGGAUGAAAAAUGGAUGUGCAUUUUUGUGUGUUAGUUAGUUUAGUCAAAUUUAUAUACAAAAUAUUUUGUCUUUGUCUUUGUCUUCUUGUUCUUCUUGAAUGAAUCCUAUUUUUACUUUCAUUUCAAAAUGACCUGAACAUUUUUCAUCAAAUGUGGGGAAAAUUUUUUUUUAAUUUAUCUAAACUGUCAGACACUGAAUUUGGAACUACUGCGAGGUGUGUAAGAUACUUAUCACUAGUCUGGAUGUAGGCUUGAUAGAGGUCUGACUGGACCAACUGCUGAGGAUGAUGUCUGUCUCUGUGUGUGUGUGUGUGUGUGUGUGUCUGUUUGUGUGUACGCGCUUGGGACAGUGUGGUCAGGCAGAAGUGCAUUGUGGGAUCGAUGUCCACACCUCACCCUAAAUUAUUCAUCCUGUCAACUGGCCUGUCCACCAUUGCAGUGGAAACCGCUGACCAAGAGCUUUACCUCCAUCCCUACGGAUUCACCUCUUCAUCCCCUCCUCGGCCCUCACUUCCUUCUCUCUCUUUCCCUCAUUAUCUCCUCCCUGAUUCGUUCAUUUGCCAACUCUCUCACUCUCACUCCUACUUUCAGUCUUCCUUACGUCCCCAAUCUUUUCAUCAGUCUUUCCUCUACUCCCAUUAUUCAGUAUAUCUGUCUUCCUCAUUAGUCCUGAACUCCCACUAAAUCACUUUCUAUUUCUUUCUCUCUCUUUUUUUCUCUUCCUGUCUUUCUCCAUGUUGACAUUCUCUCCUCUGCUACCCCCGUGCUGCUGACUAAGAUUAUAAUGUGUCGGCUUUGUAGGCUGUUUAUGUUUGUGUCUUUGAAGUCUGCCCCAGUGGCCUCUUGGAAGACAGCCAUAAUCCUAGCACGCCAGAGGUUGUUCAGUGUGCUGUGUAUGUGUGUGUAUUCAUCUUCAUACAUGUGUGAAUGCACGUGUGCGCAUGAUCAACUCUGAGUGCAGUGUGUGUGCGCAAGUGUGCAAGUGUGAGUCAGUAAUUGUGACAUGGCUCAUACAUCAUGGCCAGAGCCCGUUUGAUUACAAGCGGAGGGGCCCGGUGAUUAAUCGUUGGAUUCAGCUUCCUGGCCCGAGUUGUGACACCCGGUCACAGAGCAUCUGUACUGACACACCCCCUUAGCCCCACUGCCCUGCUCCAGCGUACCUCUAUACCGCCCGCACCCCUACACACACACUCACACACACCCAAAUACCCCCUACCUUCCCCUCACUUCCUCCCCAGCACUCCAUUACCUUUUGCCCUUCUCUCCCCUCUGAAAACACACACCUUACCUCUUUCUUUUCUGUCUCACCGGCCCUGCUUCUUUUGUACUCCUCUGACUCCUGUUUUAUCUUAGCCCAGCCCUCCUACUCUAUUCCCCCUCUCCCCCACGUCCAGCACAACCGUAUAUCUUGUCUUUACCACUUUGCUCCCCACCUCUGCGCUCCGUCAUCUUGCUUCUCUUCCCUAACCUUUCUUUUUCGAGGCAUUUUUUGCAACCCACAGCUUUGUAUUACUCUUGCUGCUUUGAUCUUAUCGCCUUUAGCCUUGCUGUUUUUACCCUUUCCCACAAGCUAUGACCCCUCCUUUCCUUCUUUUAUAUAUACCAGCCACUCUAGGCCUUUUCUUUAAUCUGAUUCUGCUCCCCUGAAAAUGUAUCUAUUUCAUGCACACACAAGCAGUCACACAUAAAAUAUAUUCAUCCUUGUACAAACACCGCACACACACUCAUAUCGCUGCAAAGCCAAAAUCCUCUUCUCUAUCUCAGCAUCUAAAAGGAUGUUAACCCCUCUCCACCUGCCAGUUAAGGUCAUGUGAUUCAGGUCCCUGAGGCCCAAAGCAGCCCUUAAUCCUACAAGCAACACUGAGGCCAAACAACUGCCCUUUUGUGCCUCUUGUAUGGUACUGUCAACUAAAACAUCUGGAAAUUGCAGCUUGAGCCAACUGUAAUUGUAAUUUUUUGAAAUGAGGGUCGUUUGUGCAAAUCAACGCUUACAUUUUUUUUUAUAUAUAUAUAUCAAAUGUUGCCAUUUGAUAUAUUUUCAUUUUGUCAUCAAGUGCCAUGAGAAGACCAGCAUUGACAGUUUUUUUUGUCCUUCUCUAAUGCUUUCCAUCUUCAUGAGGCUGAACAUGAAUCUCAACCCCCAGUCAUUUGGUUAAAUUAAAUAAUUUCCUAAAACAGCUAGGGAUUGUAGUUUUUAGCAAAUGUUACUCAAAGGGGAGUUAAUAAAGUAUUUUCCAGGGACUAUUUUGAGUGGUGGAAUUGUUUCAUAUUUGGUGUCCUAGCUUGUGUAUGGUGGUGAUUGAUUCAAAAUAUGUUUGUCAUAAUGAAGCAGCCUGUCACCCUGUGCAACUGUAUUGCUCUCUGAUGAGGUUUUGAUAGUUUUUUAACAACAGUGGAGCUCUACAUGUGGCAGAUGAAUGGGGCUUUAGCUACAAAGACAAUACUUAGUAGGAUCGAUUUGACAAACAGACAAAACAUUAAUAAAAUCAAAUCAUAUCCUGUAAACACAGGACAGAUUUUACAGUGACAGGAAAAGGAGGAAAAGUGUGAGAAAGCGAAGAUGCAGGAAAUAGUCAAUGGGAAACAAAGGGAGAAUCUGUGAGCAAGCAAGCUAGUAAGAAGCAGAGACAGUUUGUGUGUGUGUGUGUGUGUGUGUGUGUGUGUGUGUGUGCACGUGUGUGUGUGAAUGUGUGUGUGUGUGUGUGUGUGUGUGUGUUCCCCUGGCACCCACCUCCAUGCGGUAUCAGGAUGAGGAAUGGUCCUGCCAGCGAUCAGCCCAGGCCUGGACUCAAGCUCUGCACAAGGAUUCCCUGCUGAAACCAUUAGUCUGGGCAUUAAACACCAUUAGAGCACACACACACACACACACACACACACACAACAGAAGACUAGAGAGUGGAAGAGAGUGACUGCUAGAAGAAUUGGUGGAAGCUGAAGGUAAAAGAGCAAUAGUAGAGAAAGAACAAUAAAGAAAAGGAGGGAUGGAAGAUAUACAGAUAAGGGUGGAAGGGCAUUAAAAAUCCACUUUCCUUUAAUGUCUCGCUUCUCUCACCAUCAUCUACUCUAUUUGCCAUUUUGAAUGCAUAAUUAAUUAACGACAAGUAAGAAAUUAAUUUCCUGGAUAUCAGGAUUACUUUUUUUUUUUUUUUUUUUUUGCACAGGGUUACCUCAUCCUUCACCCACACUGCAUUUACUUUCAUUGUAUAGGUGACUGUGCAAUGACAAUAAAGACUAUCUUAUCUCUUA